UUACUCACUCAUAAUCAAGGGCCGCCUACGUGAAGUGGUGAAAAAGCCUAUUGCAGACCACGCCAUAAGCCAUCUCACAAUUUGUGUGGUUAUUACUAUGCUUAUUGCUGUUGCAGUAAACGUUGUGGCUUGUGAGCCGUUGACGA
rnacentral:ncRNA from 1 species